rnacentral:lncRNA from 1 species
GAAACUUGAAGGUUGGGGUUGAAGUGGAGAAGGGUGAAGAAGAUGGGUUGUUCAAAAAGGAAAGUGUUUGUGAAGCUGUGAAAAUUGUGAUGGAUGAUGAGAGUGAGGUUGGCAGAGAAGUAAGGGAAAAUCAUAGCAAAGUGAAGAACCUUUUACUCAGCUACAAUUUGGAGUCAGACUCUAUUGAUUGUUUCUGCAAGAAGCUACAAGAUUUACUAAAGUGACCAAAUUUAGAAAAUUAUCUGCUGCAAUUUAUUGUUAUGGUUAAAUAUGUUUAAUGAAAAUUGCGUUUAUUUUGAUCAAUCUAUUCGGCUGUGGUUGUUUGUCCUGUCUCAAUUGAGUCAUAUAAUGUAAAGUGGCCUACAAUUCAAAACACCACCCAUCCUUGCAGACUUACAAAGUGGAGUUAUAGUCUUCAUCCUUGCAGACCUAUACAACUAGGACGAGUUACGUCACUGCUACCGCGACCUAUACAACAUAUAGCUGAGUUACCGAGUACCGUACAUCCUUAGACGAGCUAUGCAACUAGGCCGAGUAAUGAUUGUUACUGAGUUACACAUGUGUUGUGACUGCUACAGCCGAGGAAAACUCCAAAUCUUUUCCCCCGAUGUCUUUCCUACUUGAAUUCACUAGGGUCAACGAUCUAUUGUCCAACGUCAAGCAGCGUAGACAACAAAGCGCAUAUCCACCGUUCAUCGACCUGCAGGAAGGAUGUUCAACAUAGAAGAUCCAAGGGCUCACUGAGAACCAUGCCGCGCCUAGGAAUUCAGAUGACAUUGACGAGAGUAAGACGCUCCGACCUUCACCUAUAUAAAGGGACAUGAAACAAACUAAGGCAUACAAAUGAUCCUAGCCCCAACUUACCACUAAAACUCUUAGUGACUUGGGCGUCGCAGGUGUCUUCUUAGGUACCACCGGCGGAGGACCCAACAUCGGGAAGAAGGAGAACCACAAUAGAGAAACCACUCAGCAAAGGAGCACUAGCAAAGCAUUCAGUUCUCCAUCACCAGAGCACCUGUUCGCCAUUGUUCCCAAAGUUAACACCUUGUCUAAGGUGAUUGGUUGGAUUUGUCUCAAUUACUUCUCAUUCUUCUCUUCUUUUCUCAAUCUGCGUAUCUGAUGGAUGUCGGCAUAGUGCAAGGAUCUACGAAUCAUUUUUAUGUGUUUAAUUGAUCUCAUUUUCACAAAGUUAACACCUUGUCUAAGGUUUGGUUGGAUUUGUUUCAAUUAGUUGUCACUCUUCUCUUUUUUUCUCAUCCUGAGUAGUGUUGGAUGUUUGCACAAUGUAAGUUUCUACAACUCAUUUUUAUGUUUUUAAUUUGCCUCAUUUUCAGACAUUAAACAGUGUUUGCACUUUUUUUCUAGCCAAUUUUCUCUUUAUCUUCUUAGAUGACACCAUAUUAUAUUGUGCGGUAGCUGUUAGAUGCCCUGUCUAAUAUAAAUGGCUGUUAGGCGGUCUCUUUCAAUUCAAAACACUAUUUUAAUAAUGCAUACUGUGGUUCACGAGUCUUAUGUUUUUAUCAGGAGACCAAAUAAAAACAAAGCAAGACUAGAUCACUAGAAGAGUGUAAAAGAAAUUUCACCACCUUCACUGUUCACCUUGAGUAGCACUCCGACAGCCCAGAACCAUUGCGCCCAAAACAAGAACCAUAACGCCCCAAAACAAUCUAUGAAAAAGUACAUCUCCGCACCGGUUGCCCCAUGCCUUCGGUCAUAACUCCACCUUGCAACACCUCACGAACAGAGCUGGAAGAAUCAUCAGAUCUGCAGUUAACACCAAAGUUGCAAAAAGGCGGAGGGGAAAAACAACAUUUAGCACUCCGAAGCAUCAAUUUGAACAAAAACACAGCGCAAGAAGCAUCAAACUAGCUUUAUAAAGACCCUCUGUUGAAAAAUGCGGAACACAGACCAGCCAUAAAAUUAGGAACCUGAAUCCCACGUGUCAAUUUGUUAGAUAGCUAUAAAAAAAAUUUACAAUCUAUUUAAUAUUUCAUUGGUUUUAAAAGGUGUAUGAUGAGCAAAUAAAUAUUGAUUUUUUUUAGUUAACAACAUCAUUAUUAUUUUUUUUAUUUUCUAAAUCAAAUAAAUAUUUAUUUUUAAAAAAAUUUACAACAUCAAUGUUUUUUAUUUUGAUUUUCCCGAAAAAAAAAUGUAUUUUGUAUAAAUUUCAAGUAAUUCACAUUUUAAUUCGAAAACAAUUAAAAUUUUAAAAUUAAUAUUCUAUAUAAAUUUUAUAACUAUAUAAAAAGCACAAAAUUAUAUAAAUUUUGAAAUAUAUACAAAAUAAAAACGAAAUAGGAAAUAAAAACACAAUAAUUAUUUUUUUAAGGAAAAAAACAUUAAUUAUCUAUCUAGCCAAUUAAGGAUAAAUAGAAUCAAUAAUAUGUCCAGUUCAGAAAAUAAUAAAUAAUAUGUCAAGAUAAUAUCAAGCUUAUUUUAGAAGAUGAUAUCAAGCUUGAAUAAAAUGGACUACUGAUUAUAUCUAAUAUGCAGACAGAAAAUUGCUUUCAGCGUCAAUAUUGACUCAAACUUGGAUGACUUGGAAUAAACACAAUAAUGUCAUAAUUUAUGAUUUAUUUUUCACAAUCUUGAUUUGUACUACUAUCACAUUCAUUUUUUUUAAGAUUAAUAUGUUGGUAAUUCCUUAUAUUUGUGAUUUGUGCUAUUGUCUUCAUAUUCAUGAAGAAUUUGAAACGAGUUCCUGUUGAUCUCAGCAUUUCUAACUCUUCUAUUUCAUCUUUUGUUUAAUUUUUAAUAAUCAAGGUAUUAAUUGACGUUUCAAAUACAGUAAAUAUAUUCCCUCCCGUGCAACGCGCGGGUAAAAAAACACUAGUAUUAAUUAUUAAAAUAAUUAACAACUCUUACCUAAAAGCUUAAAUUUUGGGGAUAUUUUGUUGGUUGUAAGAUAGUAAUAAAAGACAAGAUCUGGUUCCAAGAUUUGAUUCAUUAUAGAAUUUAGGGUUAAAUGUGUUCUCCGUCCCUGAACUUUGAGCGAGAUCUGAUUUCCGUCCCUCGCCGGAAAAUCUUCCUAACGCCAUCCUCAAACUCAAUUGUUUGUACGGAAAUCGUCCUUGCCGCCGAUAUAGCUCAGACAGCCGUGGCCAGGUGUCCGUUUGGAGCUGAUGUGGAAUUUUAAAAAAAUAAAAUAAAUUAAUAACAUAAUUAAUUUUUAAUAAACCCCCAAAUCUUUCCUAAUUUAAUUUCUGAACCCUAAAUUAAAACUAACACUAACCUAUCUUCUACUCCUAAUUAAAUCAUAUCAAAAUCCUAAUUUUCUAUUGAUAUUGAGAAGUCUGAGAGAGAAAGAAAGUCUAUAAUCUCAAUUCUCCAACUCUAAUCCUUCAUCUUCAACCAUCUUCCAAUUUAUUCAUCUUCAACCAUCUUCUAUCAUUUUCUUCUUCUUGGUCCAACCCGCACCAUCCCUUACUCCCAUCCCUUACUCCUAACAGCACUACAUCACCCAAGAAUAGAAUAACCCAUACCCACCACAAUAUCAACGGCGCCACCGAAUGGGUGAAAUACGCUUGCAUCCUCCUACACUCACCAUGUUUAUUCUAAAUCAAUCAUCGCCAAAUUCAGAGCCCUUCAUCAAUUGGGUUGAAAGCUUCAUAAUUUUGAUUUGUUUCACCUUCUUCUCUCUUUUUUUUUUUUUUUCUGGUUUUCUUGACAGAUCUGUGGGGCUGGGUUUGGGUUUCUGGGUGGUGGGGGUUGUUCGAUGGGGGUGAGGGUGGUGGGAGCAAGGGUGGUCGGUUUCUGCUCUGGUGGUGGGUGUGGUAGUGGUGGGUAUGGGUUUCUGGGUUGGUGACCGUGGUGGUGGCUGGUGGUGGGCGAGGUUGGGGGCGGUGGCUGUCGGUGUUGAAAAUGAGGUUGGGGGCUGUGGCAGUGGGUGUUGAAGAUGAGGUUGGGGGCAGUGGCUGAGGUUGAAGGCUGUGGCUGUGGGUUUCUGGGUUUGGGGGGUGGUUGUGGUGUUGAGGUUGGAGGCGAGGUGGUGGGUGGGGGAAGAUGAAGUUGGGGCACUGGUUUAUGCUUUGACAUAUCGUGGAAAUCCAACUGGUACUGGGUGUUUAUGUCAAUUUUAAUCCAAGUUGGUAAUCGUGGAAAUCCAACAGAUCGUGGUGAUUGAACCAAGGAAUUGUACUAGGAGUAAUUAGUCUAGUGCUUUAGAAGGUAUCAUUGAUCUGAUUGUUGUAUUUGCUAAAGAAACUUUGAUUCUCGCUCAAAGUAAAUGGCUAAAUAUUUUAGUGUGGUGUUGUUGAGGUUGGAGGCGGUGGUGGGUGUGGUGAUGAGUGUGGUGGGUGGGGGAAGAAGAUGAUGAAGAUUGAAGAAGGUGAAGAAGAUUAUGGAAAAUGAGGUUGAAGAUUGAAGAAAAGGGACCAAAAGUGUUAUUAAUUAAGUCUUAUUAGUUUUGGGGUUAGAAAUUAAAUUAGUUAAGAUUUGGGGGACUUAAUUAAAAUUAAAUUAUUUUUCUUUAUUUUUAAAAAAAUUACACGUCAUUUCAUUAAAUGAUGUGGCAUGUCCACAUAGGCCAAAAGUGACACUUGGCUACGGCGACCGGAGCUAAAUCGGCGGCAAGGACGGUUUCCAAACAAAAAUGUCAGUUUGAGGACGUCCAUAGGAAGAUUUUCCGGCGAGGGACGGAAAUCAGAUCUCGCUCAAAGUUCAGGGACGGAGAACACAUUUAACCCUAGAAUUUAAUUGGUUGGGACUCAUUUUCUUGUAUCACUCUGUCAUUCUUAGUCACCAAAAGAAAAAUAAAAUGUAGGAGUAUAAUUCUAAGAUUCGAACCCACCAACCCUGAAAUAGCAAACAAAAUAUUUGGACACGAACUUCACGCUGUCGAAUAUAAUAUUGAAGAGAAUCUCCUCAAAGGCUAAAGCAUACCACUAAGCAGGUUUUUAAGGUUUUCUUUUAAUGUAGCUUGACUUUCUGUAACUUUAUUUGUCUUUCUACUGCGGAGAAUAAUUUGACUUACUGCAUCCAUAACAUAAACGCACAUAUAUAUAUAUAUAUAUAUAUAUAUACACUAGGAUAGUAGCCCGUAUCCGUGCGAUGCACGGACGAGCAAUCCUACGAUUAAUCAUAUUUAUUUACUGAGUUUAUUAAACUGAAUAAAUUAACUUGCAAACUUGGAUAAUCAGGUAACAAAUGUGUUUUACAUUUUUUUUCCCAAUAUAUAGGUGAUAAAAAACCCAUUAUGACCUUUAAUAUGUAUAAUAAAUGUGUUUUACAUAUUUUUCCAAUAUAACGUCAAUACACUGACAAUGUUAUAGUUUUUUUUUUUUAAAAAAACUUAUAGUUUUUGUUAGAAAUGUACAAAUGUUGAAAUUAUAAGUCUAAUAAAACACAAAUAUAACUAAAUUAUUUUUAAUAAGCAAGAAAAAUAACUUGAUAAUUUUUUUAUUAUUUCUCGUACAUAUUGGCAUUAUGUACACCAAUAUCAUACUUCAAUAGAAACUAAGAAUAUAAUAUAAAUUUCAUAUCUAUUUAUCAAAGGGUGAAACAAUUAUAGACAAAAUAGUAAACAAAAUAAUCUCACUUAAUUCCAAUAUCUACGAACAAACAUAGAGAUGUUAUGUUGUUGAAAAGAUUAUUCAAACUUCUAGGCCAUUAAUUGACAUGGAAGUAGUUUGAAAAAUGAAAAUUAACUAUGGCAUAAGUACUAAAUUGAUAACUAUAUCCACCCACUAUAUUCCAAACAUGCCAUCUUAGCAUGUGUGUAUAACAAAACAAGAUGAGUGUAGGGCAUAGAAACUUAAGGAAUGAAUACAAGUAACUUAGGAUCACCCUCAUUGCUUUCCAAGUGAUCCUGUUUUUUUUUAGUAAAUCACAAAUACAUUUCACUAAAUAACCAACGGUCAAACAUAUUGCUAGCAUCCCUCAAUAUCAUAGCUUACAUAAGAUAUAAAUUCAAUUGGCAUUCCAAUUACAACACAAUGUAAUACACCACAGAUAAGUAUAAAACACAUAAACCUUAACUCAUAAUCAUCAUCAUCAUACCAAAAAAAAAAAUCCUUCAUUGAAAUGGAAGGAGUUAACUUACCUAUGAGAAAAUCUGAUUCUUCAAGAGUAGCUUCAAUGUCAGCAGAGUUUUUCAAGGAUAACCCAAUCGUUGGAAUAACAUCUGAAGAUUCAGGCACAACCCGUGUCCUCAAAUUGAAGAAAAUCUUGAACUCAUGAUCUGAUGCACGAAAUGCGCCGGAGUUUUCAGAAACACCAAAAUAAGUUACACCACACCACCCUCUGAGAAUUCACUCUUGAACUUACUGAGAUAGUUCUUCUUAAUACAAGCCUCAAUUUUGACACCCUAUACAACAAAAUAAAAGAACAAAUUAUAGGAUCUGCUUAAAUUCCACAUAGAAAUAGAACUACAAAAAUACAAAAUAAAAUAAAUAACCUGUGAAUCGAUCAAGACAAGAUUAAUAGCAUAUGCUUUGCCAGGUUCAUCAACAGGAAACAUUUCCCACAAUCAAAGAACGCGAACCUUAACUUUCCAUGUAUCUUGCCCUUUGCAUAAGCAACGAAGGGGAUGGAAAGGGCCAGCAGUAAAAGCCAUAAUUAACAACAACCAACAAUUGUCUAAACGAAAGAGGAGAUAAGUAAAGAAAAAUUGCUCUGACCAAAAACACAAAAAUGAACAGAAGAUGCCAAUAUUUAUAGACAAGUGAAAGUGAGAAGCAUUUCAAAAAUACAAUUAAAUUCAAUUACGUUUCAGAAGCAAGCCUGCUUGACAACUAUGCAUACCAAACCUCUGUUACUAACCUGACAUGGCUUCUGAUACAAAUCUAUUCUCCUCCUUUAGACAACACAUUAUGAACAAAUCCAAAACCUUCCUCAACAGUUCAAUUUUCCUCCUUCGAUUCAUCACCUACCUCACAAUGGCAAAGUGAAGAACCUUUUACUCAGCUACAAUUUGGAGUCAGACUCUAUUGAUUGUUUCUGCAAGAAGCUACAAGAUUUACUAAAGUGACCAAAUUUAGAAAAUUAUCUGCUGCAAUUUAUUGUUAUGGUUAAAUAUGUUUAAUGAAAAUUGCGUUUAUUUUGAUCAAUCUAUUCG